GAUGAACGCUGGCGGCGUGCAUAACACAUUCAAGUCGAACGGAGAUAUUUGAGGAAAUCCUUCGGGAUGGAAACGAAUAUUUUAGUGGCGGACGGGUGAGUAACGCGUGAGCAACCUGCCUCUGUGUGCGGGAUAACGUUGGGAAACUGACGCUAAUACCGCAUGAAGCAACAGUACCGCAUGGUGAAGGUGCCAAAGAUUUAUUGCACAGAGAUGGGCUCGCGUCUGAUUAGAUAGUUGGUGAGGUAACGGCCCACCAAGUCUGCGAUCAGUAGCCGGACUGAGAGGUUGAACGGCCACAUUGGAACUGAGAAACGGUCCAGACUCCUACGGAGGCAGCAGUGGGGAAUAUUGGGCAAUGGGCGAAAGCCUGACCCAGCGACGCCGCGUGCAGGAAGAAGGUCUUCGGAUUGUAAACUGCUGUUGUAAGGGAAGAAGAAAGUGACGGUACCUUACGAGGAAGCCACGGCUAACUACGUGCCAGCAGCCGCCGUAAUAC
rnacentral:rRNA from 1 species